rnacentral:rRNA from 1 species
AGGACGAACGCUGGCGGCGUGCUUAAUACAUGCAAGUCGAGCGAGAAGCCACCGCUCCGUAAGGAGUGGUGGUGGAAAGCGGCGAACGGGUGAGUAACACGUGGGUAAUGUGCCCUGAACAUCGGGAUAACAGCGGGAAACCGCUGCUAAUACCGAAUAACCCUGCAAUGUCGCAUGACGAAGCAGGCAAAGUUCCGGCGGUUCAGGAUCGAGCCCGCGGUGUAUCAGCUUGUUGGUGGGGUAACGGCCUACCAAGGCUUUGACGCAUAGCUGGCGUGAGAGCGCGACCAGCCACACGUGGGACUGAGACACGGCCCAGACCUCCGUACGGGAGCAGCAGGUAGGGAAUUCGUUGGCGCGAAGUCGGGACGAAACGCCUAGACGCAGGCGACCGGCCGCGUGGAGGAUGAAUCGGCCGUU